AUUAUGUCAUGUAUACACACACACACACACAGAUCCACUUCGUCGUACACACAUUCAUACAGGCUAGUGUCUCUUGGAGGAAUACUAGUCAAGACACCUCCAUAACACACAAAGUAAGACUACCUCGGAUGGAAACCCAGUCUCCACAGCUUUCAAAGAGGGGGGAAAGAGGCAGUCUCACCAAGGGAGGAGGGGAGAGUAAGAGACAGACAGUGAGAGAGACAGAGAGAACGAGACAUAGAAAGAGAGCGAGAAAGAGACAGAGCUCAUGAAGCAACAGAGUCUUUCCAGAGGAGGAGUGAAGGAAGAAGAAAACGACCCACAGCAGAAGGAGGAGAUGAUGAACUAGCCUAUAUUAAUACAACAGGCAGAGAGCACAAAAACACAGCAGGAGUCCUUUGUAAGUGGAGAUAAACAGUGUUGCUAUUGCACAACCGCUGCCUUUUCCACUGGCACCAAGAGACGACAACAGCUACUACAAACUGGGAGAGAAGCAAGAAUAAAAGGAGAGAGUAAGGGUGGAGCGAGAGACGGUGGAAAGCAAACCAAUGACAGCUGGAGAAAGCUCACUUCGAGCCCGAUUUGUUUCCUUUCUGAAACCCAGAACAGACUGUACAGAGGACAGCAGUGCAGCGGGUGGGGCUUUGGUCAUCUCUUGGCUUCAAUACUAAUCGCUACUUGAGGACUUCUCUCUGCUAACCCUAAUCCUGAAAAGACCGCUGGGUCGAGGAGGCGAGGUCACCACCUCUGUCUCACUGCUGGCUCCAACUCACCCAGCAACACACAGGGAACUCACUCUCCACACUCACUCAGUUUUAUCCCUUUAUUUGUGGCUUCAGCAAAGUGAUCACAUCACACAACCUGCACCCAGAUACUACAGAGUUGCACCCACCCUCAGUGUGAGGGACAUUAUGGAUGCCAGGGAGGAGAUGCUGACCCUGCUACAGAAGCUCUGGGCCAAACUGCAGGGUCUCCCCACCGCCAGCCCUCUGGAGAUGGGGGCCUUCGCUGUCCUCGUCCUCUUUAUCGUGGUCUUCCUGCUCAUGCUGCUGAUGACCUGUUUGACGUGCUGCUGCUGUCACAGAACCAGAACCAAGGGACCACAUAGUCAGCUAACCUGAGACAAUCCCCACUUCCCCCAAUAAUGAGGAGAGACAUUAUAAAACAGGCACUCUAUGGAGUGCCACUGUAUCACCAGGAGAGACAUUCUGGAGAGGCACUCUAUGGGCCUCUUAACCCCGGAGGAAUGAUGAGGACCCGUGGGGAGGGUGUGGAGCCCAUCUAUAAAGGAGCCCGGCCCUUGAACAACACACCUCCAUACAAAACACACACAGAGCCUCCCUGAGAAGCAGCAAAAACAGGCCAGGCUUCCAGGCUUUCAGGAGUAUCAACAUUCCAAGGGGCAUCCCUGGGCUCUGCUGGCUAACAAAGCAGUCUUUGACGUGAGAGAUGGACAAGACUAGACCUCUAGGACGGCUUCAACUGAUCCACACAACACAAAGACACAAGGAACACAGGAGCAUGGAAUCUCACACACACACACAGUAAUGCAAACAACUGGACAUGUAGCUAAAAGAUCCCAAUAGAAGCACAUGGGAUUGCUUGGGGAGAUGAAUGUCUGUCAGUUCUAGGAUGUAUGGGUGUCAACUCAACCUCUGCCACUGGCUCAGAGACUCUAAGAGCCCUCUGCAGUUUCCAGCAACAACUCACUUAAAUGGAGGCAUCUUGCCAAACCCCUUAGAAGACAUAUGGCAACACUCUUACAUCUAAAGGACUUCCUUUGCUUUAUUGCCUUGUUCAAGUGCUAGAUGGAACAAGGAAACUCAGAAAUGUCCGACUUGCUAACUGGUUGAACGCUGCACGUGUAUAACUACAACCAGUUAGCAAGUCGAAAAAGUCUGUUUCCUAGUUCCGACUAGCACGUGAACACAGCAUUAGUUCAGCAAAAACAAGCCAUUAUCUCAUUCCUCAGGCGAUUCAGAGGACCAUGCCUGCCCUCUGCUGUACAAACAUGGAACUGAGGCAGUGAGGAAGCCUUGUAAUAUGCUUCACAGUUAUACACAAAAACAGAAAAAGAGUAAUGCUGUCAUUUCCGUAUAGUUGUUGCAUAGGUUAAAAAGGGCAUCUCUUCCUUCUGAAAAGGCAUUUUCUUAGGCUGCCUAAAAUAGUGCAAUACGCUUUUGUAUCGCUUACAUGAAAUAAGACAAAAUGCAGAUGAUUGUGGUGAGUUAUAUCAGGGGUUCCCAAACUGUUGGCUGCUACUGUUCCACACACACACACACACACACACACAUUGCAAUUUCAAAAUGAUGUAGUGCAUCAUCAGUUUCUCAGUCAUUGCAGACCUUAGA